rnacentral:piRNA from 1 species
UNGGAAUAUGAGGGCAGAGUUGGUAGUGG